AGCAGCCGCGGUAAUUCCAGCUCCAAUAGCGUAUAUUAAAGUUGUUGCAGUUAAAAAGCUCGUAGUUGAAUUUCGGGAUCAAUAUGUCGGUCGUGCCUCGGUACGUACUGGCAUCAUUGGUUUCUCCCUUCUGAUGAACCAUGAUGCUAUUAAUUUGGUGUCGUGGGGAAUCAGGACUGUUACUUUGAAAAAUUAGAGUGUUUAAAGCAGGCUCACGCUUGAAUACAUUAGCAUGGAAUAAUGAAAUAGGACGUUUGAUUCUAUUUUGUUGGUUUCUAGGAUCGACGUAAUGAUUAAUAGGGAUAGUUGGGGGCAUUAGUAUUCAAUUGUCAGAGGUGAAAUUCUUGGAUUUAUUGAAGACUAACUACUGCGAAAGCAUUUGCCAAGGAUGUUUUCAUUAAUCAAGAACGAAAGUUAGGGGAUCGAAGACGAUCAGAUACCGUCGUAGUC
rnacentral:rRNA from 1 species